rnacentral:tRNA from 1 species
UAGGCAAUACUUUAAUAAAAAGAGUCGAUUUGCAUUUGAUUAUUGAGAUCACAUCUCUUGUCUAU